CAAAGGCUCGGAUGAGAGCUGCGGGGCUCGGGCGCGCGCGGGCAGAGUCGCGCACCCCACACCGGUCCCGGUCACUUGGAUUAGUUGCUGUUGAAGGCGCUCCUCCAAUGAAAUCUGCUCUGCUCUCUGAUUUGGCGGUUCUUCUGAGCAAAUAUGACAGCCUUUUCUCCAGGCUCCUUUCUGCUCCUCCACGUCCAUCCCCAGAGCCUAGCUCUCCAUCUGCAGUUUCUACACCAGAACCUUUACAAUUACCCAGUCCCAUUCCUGCAAGUACAUGAUUACUAUAAAGAUGACAUGACACAUUGGGAAGAACACAAUGUUGCUUCUAGAUUGCCGAAGAUGCUUAAGCUCAAUUUUUCCAGGUGGGAAAAUGUUAGAAUAAACCCGCUGUGCUUUGUAAACAUGUAAUCAUGCUGAACUAUUUA